UACGGAGGGAGCUAGCGUUGUUCGGAAUUACUGGGCGUAAAGCGCGCGUAGGCGGCUUUGUAAGUUAGAGGUGAAAGCCCGGGGCUCAACUCCGGAACUGCCUUUAAGACUGCAUCGCUUGAAUCCGGGAGAGGUGAGUGGAAUUCCGAGUGUAGAGGUGAAAUUCGUAGAUAUUCGGAAGAACACCAGUGGCGAAGGCGGCUCACUGGACCGGUAUUGACGCUGAGGUGCGAAAGCGUGGGGAGCGAACCGG
rnacentral:rRNA from 1 species